rnacentral:rRNA from 1 species
UAGGGAAUAUUGCACAAUGGAGGAAACUCUGAUGCAGCGACGCCGCGUGAGUGACGAAGGCCUUCGGGUUGUAAAGCUCUGUUCUUAGGGAAAAAGAAAGUGAUUGUACCUAAGAAGAAAGGACCGGCUAACUUCGUGCCAGCAGCCGCGGUAAGACGAGGGGUCCAAGCGUUGUUCGGAAUCAUUGGGCGUAAAGCGGGUGUAGGUGGCUCUGUAAGUCAGGAGUGAAAGCCCCGAGCUUAACUUGGGAAGUGCUUUUGAUACUGCAGAACUUGAGUGUGGGAGAGGAUCGUGGAAUUCCAGGUGUAGUGGUGAAAUACGUAGAUAUCUGGAGGAACACCGGUGGCGAAGGCGGCGAUCUGGCCCAACACUGACACUGAGACCCGAAAGCGUGGGGAUCAAACAGGAUUAGAUACCCCAGUAGUCC